rnacentral:tRNA from 2 species
AAGUUUGUAGCGAACCGCAGUUAAUUUCGACCUAACUAAUGGUGUUAAAAUCACCCAAACUUA